AUGCCCCUUGACGCCCCUGACACCACCGCUGGGUGCCAGAUGAAGAAUAUUGUCCACAACUACUCGCAGGCGGAGAGCAAGGUCCAUGAGGCCACAAGCAAUGAUCCCUGGGCCCGUCCAGCUCUCUCCUGUCUGAGAUCGCCGCCCUCCCCUAUAAUGUUGUGGCCUUCUCGGAGAUCAUGAGCAUGAUCUGGAAGCGGCUCAAUGACCAGAGCAAGAACUGGCUGCACGUUUACAAGGCCAUGACACUGAUGGAGUACCUCAUCAAGACCGGCUCAGAGCGUGUGUCCCAGCAGUGCAUGGAGAACAUGUGUGCUGUGCAAACGUGGACCGUGAUGGCAAGGACCAGGGUGUGAAUGUGAGUGAGAAGGCCAAGCAGCUGGUGGCCCUGCUGCGUGAGGAGGACCGGCUGCGGGAAGAGCAUGCCCAUGCACUGAGACCGAGGGGAAGCUUGCACAGACCACCACGGCCUCCUCAGCAGCAGUGGGCUCCGGGCCAGGCCUGCUCUGCCUGCAGAGCAGUAGGGAGGAGGAGCUGCAGCUCCAGCUGGCCCUGGCCAUGAGCAAGGAGGAGGCUGACCAGCCCCCAUCCUGCGCCCCGAGGAUGAUGUCCAGCUCCAGCUGGCCCUUAGUUUGAGCCAAGAGGAGCACGAUAAGGAAGAGCGAAUCCGUUGUGGGGACGACCUAAGGCUGCAGAUGGCAAUGGAGGAGAGCAAGAGGGAGACUGGAGGCAAGGAGGAGUCAUCUCUUAUGGAUCUUGCUGAUGUCUUCAGGGCAGACAUCACCUCCACCGGCUUCAGACCCAUAGGGGCGCCCAGCACCCAUGGCUGCCCCCAUCCCCACUGCCCCCUGCCUCAGACCCCUGGGGGGGACCUGUUGUCCCUCCAGCUGCUGAUCCUUGGGGUGGUCCAGCCCCCACACCAGCCUCUGGGGAUCCCUGGAGGCCUGCUGCCCCUGUGGGACCCUCUGUUGACCCUUGGGGUGGGACCCCAGCCUCUGCAGCUGGAGAGGGCCCCAUGCCUGACCCAUGGGGAAGCUCUGAUGGUGGGGCUCCAGUCAGUGGACACCCAGCUUCUGAUCCCUGGUCUCCUGCAUCUGCAUUCUCUGACCCCUUGGGGGGGGGGUCACCGGCAAAACCCAGCACCAGUGGCACUGCAGCAGCUGGAAGCUUUGAUCCAGAGCCUGAUGAAUUCUCAGACUUCGACUGACUCCGCACAGCCCUGCCAGCCUCUGGGAGUAGCACGGGGGAGCUGGAGCUGCUUGCAGGAGAGGUGCCUGCCAGCAGCCCUGGGCGUCUGACAUGAGUGGGGUUGGUGGGUCUCUGGCUGAGACUGUGGGAAGUGCCCCACCUGCCACUGCCACAACCCCCACACCCCCCACAGGGAAGACGCCAGAAUCCUUCCUGGGGCCCAGUGCAGCCCUCAUUGAUCUGGACUCUUUGGUGAGCCGACCCGGCCCCACUCCUCCAAGAGCCCAGGCUUCCAAUCGUCUUCUUGCCAAGUGGAACCUCUCAGCCCUGUGGCCCCAGCCCCUGGAACACCACCCACCUACAUCUCUCCCCUUGGUGGGGGCCCUGGUCUGCCCCCAAUGAUGCCCCCUGGUCCCCCAGCACCCAACACUAACCCUUUCCUCCUAUAA